rnacentral:rRNA from 1 species
AUUGAACGCUGGCGGCAUACUUUACACAUGCAAGUCGAACGGUAACAGGGUGCUUGCACCGCUGACGAGUGGCGAACGGGUGAGUAAUGCGUCGGAACGUGCCGAGUCGUGGGGGAUAACGCAGCGAAAGUUGUGCUAAUACCGCAUACGUACUGAGGUAGAAAGUGGGGGACCUUCGGGCCUCACGCUAUUCGAGCGGCCGACGUCUGAUUAGCUAGUAGGUGAGGUAAAGGCUCACCUAGGCGACGAUCCGUAGCGGGUCUGAGAGGAUGUUCCGCCACGCUGGGAGUGAGGCACGGCCGAGACUCCUACGGGGGGCAGCAGUGGGGAAUUUUGGACAAGGGGCGAAAGGCUGAUCCAGCAAUGCCGCGUGUCUGAAGGAGGCCUUCGGGUUGUAAAGGACUUUUGUCAGGGAGGAAAUCCCUAGUGCUAAUAACACUGGGGGAUGACAGUACCUGAAGAAUAAGCACCGGCUAACUACGUGCCAGCCGCCGCCGUAA